UCGGGGGUGGCGCAAUUGGUAGCGCAGCGGGUUCUGAGCCCGAAGGUCGGAAGUUCGAGACUUUCACCCCGAGCCA
rnacentral:tRNA from 2 species